AAGGAAAUUUGAAGAUAAAUCCAAAUGGGUUAAAGCUUUCAAUAAUUUUAUCUGGUCUGGGAUGGAACCAGAGAGAGAAUUAUGAGACAAAUCAAGAGAGUAUAGACGGGUGGCAUUGAAAAGAUGGGAAGGGAUGAGCUUGGAGAAGUUAUUGUGAGAGAGAGAAAGUCGAGUUAACGAAUCAAGGAGACCGAGUUCUGAUGGAAGGUAACCAGUAAGGCCUCUGUUUGGGAGAAUGAGAGAGCUGACACGGUGAUUAAUGCAAGUAACUCCAUGCCAGUGGCAUGGAGUUAGAUCAGAAUCGGACCAAGAGGCAAGAACUUGAGUUGGGUCGGUGGUAAUUGCAGCUUUGAGAGCCAAGAGAGCUAGGCCAUCUGUUGUAAGAGAGAAAGAGAGUGGGGUAGCGAGAAGAAUCAGAAAUGGCAAUGCAGUGAUGAUUGAAAGCGAGUUGAGUAGCAUUUUUCAAUUGUCUAUUGAAGAUUUAGAUGAAGAAUCAAUCUUUGGCCAUCUCAGAAAAAGGUAGAAAUGUAGAAAGCAACGAGGAGUUGCAGAGAAUUGAGUGGUGUCUGGCUGAGGACGAAGGAGACUAAGAAUGAGACAGGAGUGAAUGAGCAGAAGAGAAGAAGCGAAGGUUUCUGGCUCUGGGCUUCAAGUUUGAACUUUGUUUCUGGGGAUAUCGAGGCGGCGAGGAACGUGGAACACUGUGACUACGCAAAUUUUGAAUUCUCAUCUCCA
rnacentral:misc_RNA from 1 species